rnacentral:misc_RNA from 1 species
CACCAAUCAAGCCCUGCUUGGUAUUAGGCAACGCGGUCCGCCGCGUGCCUCAAAUCGACCGGCUGGGUCUUCUGUCCCCUAAGCGUUGUGGAAACUAUUCGCUAAAGGGUGCUCGGGAGGCUACGCCGUAAAACAAACCCAUUUCUAA